GAUCCUGGCUCAGGAUGAACGCUGGCGGCGUGCCUAACACAUGCAAGUCGAGCGAGAAAUCUUGGAAUGAGACUUCGGUUAAAUGAAGAGAUGGAAAGCGGCGGACGGGUGAGUAACGCGUAGGCAACCUGCCUUAUGCAGAGGGAUAGCCAUUGGAAACGAUGAUUAAAACCUCAUAAUGCCAUUUUAUCACAUGGUGAGAUGGUCAAAGAUUUAUCGGCAUAAGAUGGG
rnacentral:rRNA from 1 species